rnacentral:rRNA from 1 species
UACGAAGGGUGCAAGCGUUACUCGGAAUUACUGGGCGUAAAGCGUGCGUAGGUGGUUUGUUAAGUCUGAUGUGAGAGCCCUGGGCUCAACCUGGGAAUUGCAUUGGAUACUGGCAGGCUAGAGUGCGGUAGAGGAUGGCGGAAUUCCCGGUGUAGCAGUGAAAUGCGUAGAGAUCGGGAGGAACAUCUGUGGCGAAGGCGGCCAUCUGGACCAGCACUGACACUGAGGCACGAAAGCGUGGGGAGCAAACAGG